rnacentral:rRNA from 1 species
UACGUAGGGGCCUAGCGUUGUCCGGAAUUAUUGGGCGUAAAGAGCUCGUAGGCGGUUCGGCAAGUCGGAUGUGAAAUCUCCACGCUUAACGUGGAGGGGCCAUUCGAAACUGCUGUGACUCGAGUCCGGUAGGGGAGUGUGGAAUUCCCGGUGUAGCGGUGAAAUGCGCAGAUAUCGGGAGGAACACCUGUGGCGAAAGCGGCGCACUGGACCAUAACUGACGCUGAGGCGCGAAAGCUAGGGGAGCAAACAGG